rnacentral:rRNA from 1 species
CCUACGGGGGGCAGCAGUGAGGAAUAUUGGUCAAUGGACGAGAGUCUGAACCAGCCAAGUAGCGUGAAGGAUGACUGCCCUAUGGGUUGUAAACUUCUUUUAUAAAGGAAUAAAACGAGGCACGUGUGCCUUUUUGCAUGUACUUUAUGAAUAAGGAUCGGCUAACUCCGUGCCAGCAGCCGCGGUAAUAUGGAGGAUCCGAGCGUUAUCCGGAUUUAUUGGGUUUAAAGGGAGCGUAGAUGGGUUGUUAAGUCAGUUGUGAAAGGUUGCGGCUCAACCGUAAAAUUGCAAUUGAUACUGGCAGUCUUGAGUACAGUUGAGGUAGGCGGAAUUCGUGGUGUAGCGGUGAAAUGCUUAGAUAUCACGAAGAACUCCGAUUGCGAAGGCAGCUUACUAAACUGCCACUGACAUUGAUGCUCGAAAGUGUGGGUAUCAAACAGGAUUAGAUACCCCUGUAGUC